UUCGCAAUGCCCGAAAGGGUGACGAAGCGACGCCGCGUGUGGGAAGAAGGCCUUCGGGUUGUAAACCACUGUCGGGAGUUAAGAAAUACAAGGAUAUGAAUAGUGUCUUUGUUUGACUAAGGCUCCGGAGGAAGCCACGGCUAACUCUGUGCCAGCAGCCGCGGUAAUACAGAGGCGGCAAGCGUUGUUCGGAAUUAUUGGGCGUAAAGAGCACGUAGGCGGCUAUGUAAGUCGGUUGUGGAAGCCUUCCGCUCAACGGAAGAACAGCAUCCGAUACUACAUGGCUUGAGUGCGGGAGGGGAGAGUGGAACUUCUGGUGGAGCGGUGAAAUGCGUAGAUAUCAGAAGGAACGCCGGCGGCGAAAGCGGCUCUCUGGCCCAUAACUGACGCUGAGUGUGCGAAAGCUAGGGGAGCAAACGGGAUUAGAUACCCCGGUAGUCCUAGCCGUAAACGAUGGGCACUAAGUAGAGGGGUUUU
rnacentral:rRNA from 1 species